CAGAGCGGGCAGGGAAGUCUGUCCUACCCUUCGCGUCCGAGUGGGGCCGGGGACUUCGUCUCCGGAGCCCCCAGAGUCCCCACAGCCUCGGCGGGAGGAACUCGUGUGGAGUUCGGGAGCGCUCAGGACGCUCGCAGGCAUUUCAGAGCCUGAGGUUCGAAUCCCAGCUUCCAGAGAGACUCCGCGACUUUGGACAACCGGUCUCGGGGCCUCAGUUUCCCCUCUAGGGUGAGGCACCCAGGAGGCGGAGGGAAAGGCUGUGGUUCCUUUACUAGCCCGACCCCUCGGGCGGUCCACGGCUGCCCUGCAUGGAGCUGACGCUCAACGAGGGUUGUUGAAUGAAUGUGUGUAAGGAGCCCUGAGAAGCCACAAAUCUUGGACACCUGGCUGGAGGAUCUGUCCGUCCUGGCCCCAGCGUCUUAGAGAGGUACCUGCACAGCAAUGGAUAUUUCCAGUUGUUCUCCAUUCUCGUCAACACUUGGUAUGGUCAGUCAUUUUAAUUUUAGACAUCUAACAGGGGCCCUGGCUGAGUCUGGAACUACAGGAACAUUUUACAGUUGGUCACCUUCCUUCGGCAGUAAGUGGAUGCGAAGAAGCACGUGGAAACUGUCUGCUUCCUCGAGGAGGCAGUCUGCCCGGGCACCCUGCGUGCCCUGUGUGAGUGUGCCACACCAGGCACUCUGGCCGCCACGGAGCAGUGUCUGCAGCUGCUCGCUGGGGCGACCACAUAGGUCAAGGUGGCCGUGGCUGCCGCUUGCGCAGGAAGUGCUGAGUCCUUGGCUCCGCACACCCCCCUGCAUGAGGAGGCCCCAGGGAGUUGCAUGGAGACUGUGGGAGCGAGGGAAGCAGCACAACUCUGCCGGUGCAUCUGCUGUGGCUGUGAGAGCAGAAGGUCUACCUCUGAUCAGCACACCUCUCCCUCCACUGUCAGCACCCGUGCAGUGGCAUCAGGUUCACUCCCUGCAUCCUCAGGUUCUUUCUUGAAAGUGAGGUAAAGGGAGCCCUCAGCGCUCACACGUCUCAGACACACCUCCUGGGUCGGGACCUGUGGUCUGCUGUCCUGAUCCGGGUCCUCACUAGCCAUCACUGGAAAAGUGCCACUGCUGUCUACCUGCGCCUACCUGCCUGUCAGCCCUCUGCCAUGAUGACAGUCUCAAGACA